rnacentral:rRNA from 1 species
UACGAAGGGGGCUAGCGUUGUUCGGAAUUACUGGGCGUAAAGCGCACGUAGGCGGAUUUGUAAGUCAGGGGUGAAAUCCCGGGGCUCAACCUCGGAACUGCCUUUGAUACUGCAAGUCUCGAGUCCGAUAGAGGUGAGUGGAAUUCCUAGUGUAGAGGUGAAAAUUCGUAGAUAUUAGGAAGAACACCAGUGGCGAAGGCGGCUCACUGGAUCGGUACUGACGCUGAGGUGCGAAAAGCGUGGGGGAGCAAACAGG